rnacentral:SRP_RNA from 1 species
GCUGGGCAUGGUGGCUCAUGCCUGUAAUCCCCGCACUUUGGGAGGCUGAGGCAGGUGGAUCACCUGAGAUCAGGAGUUCGAGACCAGCCUGACCAAUAUGGUGAACCCCUGUCUCUA